GACGUUCCAGCUUCUUUUUUCAACAUAGUACCAAUGCAUACUGUUGUAAAGAUUUCCACGAAGUGAAUGGCCUAUGUGAAGGUUGUCCGGCUGGUCAAUAUGGACUUAACUGUAAACUGUCUUGUCCUGAUAAUCACUAUGGCUUUCAAUGUAAACAAAGAUGUUAUUGCCUUAAUGACGGAGUGUGUCAUAAAGUAAACGGUUGUGUCUGCAGAGACGGUUUCUCAGGAGAUUCGUGUGAGAAAACGUGUGUUCCUGGUAAAUUUGGUAACCGAUGUCAAGAGAAGUGCAGCUGUCCUGCUGGAUUCACGUGUGAUUCGGAAAAAGAAACAU